ACGGCUCAGUAACACGUGGAUAACCUGCCCAAGGGUCUGGGAUAACCCCGGGAAACUGGGGAUAAUACCGGAUGGAUCACUAGUGCUGGAAUGCUUGGUGGUCGAAAGGCAACGCCUUUGGAUGGGUCUGCGGCGGAUUAGGUUGACGCCGGUGUAACGUACCGGCGUGCCUGUAAUCCGUACGGGUUGUGGGAGCAAGAGCCCGGAGAUGGAUUCUGAGACACGAAUCCAGGCCCUACGGGGCGCAGCAGGCGCGAAAACUCUACAAUGCAGGCAACUGCGAUAGGGGGACAUCGAGUGGCAUCCACCUUGGGUGCCUGUCCAACCGUCUAAAAAACGGUUGUUAGCAAGGGCCGGGUAAGACCGGUGCCAGCCGCCGCGGUAAUACCGGCGGCUCGAGUGGUGGCCGAUAUUAUUGAGUCUAAAGGGUCCGUAGCCGGCUUUGCAAGUCCCCUGGGAAAUCCAGCGGCUUAACCGUUGGGCUUUCAUGGGAUACUACAUUGCUUGGGACUGGGAGAGGUAGGAGGUACUCGGGGGGUAGGGGUGAAAUCCUGUAAUCCUCCGGGGACCACCGGUGGCGAAGGCGUCCUACCAGAACAGGUCCGACGGUGAGGGACGAAAGCUAGGGGCACGAACCGGAUUAGAUACCCGGGAAGUCCUAGCCGUAAACGAUGCCCGCUAGGUGUCACGACGGUCGUGAAUCGUCGUGGUGCCGUAGGGAAGCCGCGAAGCGGGCCACUUGGGAAGUACGGCCGCAAGGCUGAAACUUAAAGGAAUUGGCGGGGGAGCAC
rnacentral:rRNA from 1 species